UUUGAUGUAAAUUUAGGAGUUACUAUAUAUUAUUUAUAUAAGGUCAUUACUUGAUGCUUUAGAUGAGGAGUUAUAUAGUUAUUUUUUAUAGUGGUGGAUGUUGGUAAUUAUUUUAGGAAAUAUAAUCGAUUGAUGGUUGUUAUUGUAGAAGAACAAACUACACAGAUGAUCCUCAAACUUCAAACUUGUUCGUGGAUGACACCUAGCUCCUCGAACUAGCAAUUUGCAGAUCUAGGUCCCUAAAUUUACUAAGUGGUUCACUCAAGAUUCAAUGUAUGUAUUCAACUUCAAUAUGCCUACUUGGCCUCCAUGUGGAAUCCAUAUCAUUUAAUUUUUUUCAACUUGUCAUACAUAUAAUUUUUUUUUCCAAAUAACAACCAAUGAAAAAAAUACAUCACGACAUGUAUGCCAUAUGCUAACUUCUUUCUUAUUUUCUCUGUCGAUGGUCGGGAAGAGAGCUCCAAGUCACUCCUGAUGGGUGGAGUAAGAGAGAUGGCCAUAUUUCUAUAGGUAAUCAUGUGUUAGUUGUUGAUAUUUAGUGCUCAAGUGAUAUAACAAGUUUAAGUAACGUCCCAAACAAGUUUGAAGACCGGAGAUACACUUUACCAAAACUACUAACGAGCUUAAUGAUGGAUGAUGUGUAGCUCAAAGAAAUAGAAGUUGAACCUACAAGUGGAAAUGAUGAUGAUUGACUUUGUAGACAUUGACUAUGAUAUUUAAGAUGGAGAUGAUCACCUUUUUUGGAGAAAUAUGGAUGGAGGUGUGAUUGAUGAAGAUGCUGCCAAAGGCAAAAAAUUGAAAGCUGCGAAAAGAUAUCUGUAGUAAACUCAAAUGAUAGGCUGCGGGUUAGAGAAUGUUGACAAUGGGGAUGGAACUUUCUACAUAUGAGGAAUGAUUGCAGCUUCUAAAUUUAGAUGAUGAAGGACUAAGUAGUAAGAGGUUUAAAGGUUUUAGGUAACAGGACUAGGAGAAUUUUACAUUCAUGGUGGGCAAACACUUGAAACAGAUGAGGUCCUGAGGAAAGCAAUAAUUGAAUGCAAUAUUUGGGAUAGAGUAGCUAUCUUAAUGCGUAUUGUGCAGAAGGAUGCCUAUGGGCUAGCACGAUAGAUGGUACUUACGGAAUUGGGUAGGGACGGGGGAGGCUAGGGGUUCGAAGGGAAGGCUUGAUGUCUGCGGAAGGAAGGGGUGAAGGGGGUAAGGAGAAAGUAGGAGUUCAUCUCAACGACCCAAAUGCAUUAAUCACCAACAACAUCAAAAACCUACCAAAUCUAGGAUGAACAUGCCACGCUUGAUCUAAUCCCACGUGUAGCUAAUUUGGACGCCGAGUAUUUAGAGCGUGUUUGGGACUGCUCCGCUCCAGAAAAAAUAGCUCCACUCCACCAACUUCACCUUUUUUUAGCUCCACUCCACCAACUCUAGGAAAAUAG
rnacentral:lncRNA from 1 species